rnacentral:lncRNA from 10 species
GUCACAGCGACGGGGCUGGGCUGGGCCAGGCCAGGCUCCGGGAGAUGUGGAAUUGGCGAAACAACUGCCCCAGUAGUAUCCUCCGCCUAGGACUCCAAGAGGUGGCGAAUUGGGGCACUACGCCCGGGUAAGGCAGUGCCUGUUCAGGGCUGCCGACCUGUCUCCCCAGGGCUGUCAUUCUCAGCAAGUACUUUAGGAGUGCCUUAGAUCGGCACAUUCUCCCAUUGAAAUAUUUUUGUUAGUGGAGACAAGGGAGGUAAUGGCAAGGACACGGAUCAUCACAGCCCCUAGGGAUUUGUUGAAUGACCUUUGGCAAAUCACUUCCCUUCUCUGGGCCUGUAGUUCUUGGCUGAAUAUGAGGGAAUGGAUUUCAAAUUAUGCUCCAUGUAAUACCCGUGUUUUUACCUCUGUAAACAGAUUUUUUUGUUUUUUUUGAGACGGAGUCUCGUUCUGUCCCCCGGGCUGGAGUGCAGUGGCGCGAUCUCGGCUCACUGCAACCUCCGCCUCCCGGGUUGACGCCAUUCUCCUGCCUCAGCCUCCCUAGUAGGUGGGACUACAGGCGCCCGCCACCACGCCGCCCGGCUAAUUUUUUUUUUCUUUUUCUUUUUCUUUUUUUUUUUUUGUAUUUUUAGUACAGACAGGGUCUCACUGUGUUAGCCAGGAUGGUCUCGAUCUCCUGACCUUGUGAUCCGCCCGCCUCGGCCUCCCAAAUUGCUGGGAUUAUAGGCGUGAGCCACCGCGCCCGGCCCCAACAGAUUUUUAAAGAUGGUCUUUUCCCAAUUUGUGGAAAUGUUUUAACAGAAUGCUCUCAAUAUUUUUCGCCCAUGUGAUUCUUAGAUUCAUGUGAAUCUAACACAACGUAUCUGAUACUGUUCCCAACAGGAACCAGGGUGGCAGGGCUAGAUGUCCUCUCACCAGACUGCCCAGUGAAGGUGCUGUCACUUUGAUGAAUUAUCAAGGCUUUGUAGUGGGUCUUCUACUGGACAAAGGACAAACUGGAGACUCCCUGGAUCAAAUGUGUUGGUGAGGCACUGAAUCUGAUUGCUGAAAGGUGAUUCAGCUGCAAGUUAGGCAUCAGUUUAGGGUUUUCUAGGCUUGGCAUCUAAAGGGAGUGCCUGCUGUAGCUGAAACCUCAUAGGCCUUCUCUUCCUUCCGAAUUGUUUUCAAGGCCUUGGGGGUACAGAGACUUAGAGAAAAUACAUAGUUGUGCCUCAGACUGAUGGGCCUCAUCUGUUUAAUGGAGAAACACCAAGCACACUCAGUCUGGGCGGAAUUUUAGAGCUCCAUAGUAUAACCACUAUCUAGCUACAUGUGGCAAUUGAGCAUUUGAAAUGUGGCUAGACUGAAUUGAAAUGUGCUGUAUAAAAUAUACACUUAAUUUCAAAGACAAUAUUUUUAAAAUGUAAAAUAUUUCAGUAAUUUAAAAAUAUGGUUUAAAUAUUUUAGAUAUGUUGGGUUAAAUAAAAUAUAUUAGUAAAAUAUUUCACUUGUUUUUUGACCUCUUAAAUGUGGCUGCUAGAAAAUGUUAUAGUGCUGUCAGGAAGUGCUGUUCUGGAAUACAGAAUGUGGCUGCCGUGAGUGGAGUGUGACUAUGAGAUAGUCGCCUGACUGGAGACAAUGAAGCCUCAGGCCAAGGUAAGAGGGCUGACAAGGAAGAACUGGCACAACUAGAGCCGAAUGUUUGGGGGAGGUAUAUGUCUGCCAAAAAAUGAAUAUAAUUUCAGGUGACUCAAUAGAAGUGGAGGGAUCAGUUUCUCUUGUUCUGCCCUGCUCUUAUCUAGGUAACUCUUACUUUUCCUUUAGGUCAGGGUUCUUCUAAGCCAGAAAACCUUCACUGACUUAAGUGCACUCCUUUCUAUGUUUGCAUAGAUCUCUUUCUUAACUUUACCCCAUUAUAGUAAAAUUAUGUUUUCACAUUUGCCUUUAUACCCAAACCUCCACCAAAAUAUUGUGAGCUCUCUGAGGGUAAGGACUUUGUCUUAUUAUUGUUAUACCUGGAGACAGAUUAAAACAAUAUGAUGUUUGUGGGGACCAGGGAAAAGGGGAAUGGGAGAGGCUCCUCUGGUUAGUCUAAAAGAAAAGUAUCAGGCACCUACUUGAAUCCUCAUUUGAUUUCUUUCUGACCAUGAGAGGGGAUGCUGAGAUGCCCAAAGAUGUGCAAAUGGCGGGAUCCGGCGCACCAUAGUAGGCAGGGGAGUGAAGAUUUCUCACCUCGGGUCUUCCUAGACCUUCAGGUCACACGGGAAUUGUUCUGUUUAUAGACGGCGCUGGCCUUAGUACUCACUCUCCCUCUAUUUUCCUUGCUUCCUUAUAACUAGGUUUCCCUACUCACUUCCUCAAAAAGAGUGAUGUAGGUCCACGUGUACCCUCCCAACUGGCCUGGGUCCUCUCCCUUCUUUGUAAGGCCUGAAAAAUUCCCUGGUGGGGGAUGGUUAGAAAAGGAAGAGGAACCUUCUUUGUAAGUGUGCAAGUCAGAAGGGGAGGGAGAAAAGUGACAAUUUAUAUAUCUGGGACAAAUAUAUCUUGGACCCAGGUUUUGCCACCUGUCUGCAUCCCCCCAUGCCCUUUCCCCUCCAGUGAUCAAAUAGCUCUCUGGAUGCCCCUUAAUUCUUCCACCCCAUCCAUUCUGAUCUACCCAGCACUUGCCUAGGCAACACCAGUCCAGGAGAACAAAUGGAGUUAUGCACAACAUUGGUGAUUUCCUUGUAUUGUGGCUCCAGUGGUUAUGGCUGGGGACACACACAUCCUUCCAGUUAUUUCUGAGCAUACUCUGGAAACGUCUUAUGAGCCCUCUUCUUUAUUGUGUGCACCCACUAGGAUGCUCCCUCCUACUCAGCCCUGUUUAGUGGGAUUUUUCAGCCCACUGUAAAGCCUACUGCUGCCUGUAAAGCCACCUAAGUGCAUCACUUGCUGGUGUUCACCAUGAUAACAACAAUUUAUGGGGACAGAAUAUGUUUCUAGAGCUGCUGGUGCCACUGCUGAUGUUACUGGGUUCCCUGAAAUAAAACACCACAGUGCAGGUGAGUACCAAAGUGGGGAGAAUUUUUAGUUCCUUUUAGAGGUGCUAAAUCAAUAUUGUUGAUUUCCCAGUACCUUAGAAUAUUUAAUGAAAACAGGUCAGGUGCAGUGGCUCACGCCUGUAAUCCCAGCACUUUGGGAGGCCAAGGCAGGUAGAUCACUUGAGGUCAGGAGUUCAAGAACAGCCUGGCCAACAUGGUGAAACCCCAUCUCUACUAAAAAUACAAAAAUUAGCAGGGCGUGGUGGCAGGCACCUGUAAUCCCAGCUACUCCGGAAGCUGAGGCACCAGAAUCGCUUGAACUCAGGAGGCGGAGGUUGUAGUGAGUCGAGAUCAUGCCACUGCACUCCAGCCUGGGCGCAUGGUGGCUCAUGCCUAUAAUCCCAGCACUUUGGGAGGCUGAGGCAGUCAGAUCACUUGAGGUCAGGAGUUCAAGAACAGCCUGACCAACAUGGUGAAACCCCAUCUCUACUAAAAAUAGAAAAAGUUAGCCAGGCGUGGUGGCAGGCGCCUGUAAUCCCAGCUACUCAGGAGGCUGAGGCAUAAGAAUCCUUGAACCCAGGAGGCGGAGGUUGCAGUGAGCUGAGAUUGCACCAUUGCACUCCAGCCUGGGCAACAAUAGCGAAACUCCGUCUCAAAACAAACAAACAAACAAAACAAAAAAACUUAAUGAAUACAGUCCCUCCUAAGAUUUUCAAAUAAAUGAAAUACCACAUUAAUCAUAUUGUUUUAUUUUUAUCAUUACAUUAAAAAUCAAAUAGUAUCACUAGGUUUAUAAUGAAAAACAGCAGACCCUGUCCCAGCCCUCCACACUCUCAGUUUCUACUCCCUAGAUAUAAUCUCUAUUCACCCAGCUACCUCUUCUGGUAUUUAUCUCCGUAUUUCUAAAUAGCAUGCUUAUACUACUAAUUCUUAAUUUUUCAGUUUGGGCCAUUAUUUUACUUUUUCUAUAGGAAAUAAGAUAUGUGUUUAUACUCUGAAGACUGGUAAUACACACAUGUAUUUCUCCAUCUUCCAUCCUUCAGUUUAUCUAUAUCACCCUAUAUAGGUAGAGUACUAUUCAUUAUACUAUUAUAAAGGUAUGUAAUUGAUCCAGUUAGCAUAAUAUGAUUAUAUUUCCUUUAUUUUGAUUGAAGUUAACUAUUGCCUCUUUCUCCAUGCAACUUUCUUAAGUACCUAGCAUUCAAGUGUCUAUAAUCAAUUUAUUCCAAACUGUCCUUUCAAAACAUUGAAACACAUCAAGUAGUCUAUCAAUCAGUUUAUUUUUUAAAUUGGAGACAACUCUCUAGGAGCCCAUCAUCCUCCUUCACUGUGGACUAGUUUUUCUCUAAGCCUACUGCACAGCUUUUGUCCUGAAAUAAUUUUAUCCUUUCUACCCUGUUUUCCACUUCUUUUUGUUUUUCUGAAAGAUUUCCACCUUCCAGCUUUUCUUUUGAAUUUUAAAAUUUCUGUUAUGUUUUAAAUUUGCCAGAAUACUUUCUUGUCAACCUCUCUUUUAAUUAAAAAUAUUUUUUAUUUUUGUAAUUUAAAGGUUUAUUGUAAAUUGACAAGUACAAAUUGGAUAUAUUUAUGGGGUACAAAGUGAUGUUAUAUGUAUACAAUGUGGAAAGAUUAAAUCAAGCUAAUUAACAUAUCCAUCACUACAAAUACUUCUUUGUGGUGAGAAUACUUGACAUUUACCUUCAGCAAUUUUGAAAUAUACAGUACAUUAUUAUUAACCAUGCUAUACUCUUUAUCUCAAAAAAUGUAUUCCCUUUAUCUAACUGAAACUUCGUACUCUAACCAACAUCUCCUUGUUUCCCCUACCACCCCUUCCCCCUACUCUCUGAUAACCAUCAUUCUACUCUGAUUCUGUGAGUUUGUUUUAGAUUCUACAUUAGGAAUCAUGUGACUUUGUCUGUCUGUGCCUGGCUUAUUCCAUUCAGCAUAACGUCCUCCAGGGAAGCACUUUCUUGUCCACCCCCUUCCCCUUUUUAAAUAGCAGUCUGUUCCAUUUGGUGGAUGCAGUAUCUUAUUACUCUAAGAAUAUUGCUAAUGUUUUCUUUUGUUUCUUGAAUUGUCUGUGUUGAAUUUUUAAGGCUUGUUUCUGUUUUGUGUUGGAAGCUUUUCUUAAACGUCUAGAGAUCCUUGGCCAUCCAUUCAUAUGUAAGAGUGGGGCACUAGAAAGCCAAUAGAAAGUUCUGUGUACACUGGCCAGUGAGGUGGCUCACACCUGUAACCCCAGCACUUUGGAAGGCCAAGGCAGGCAGAUCACUUGAGGUCAGGAGUUCAAGACCAGCCUUGCCAACAUGGUGAAACCCCAUCUCUACUAAAAAUACAAAAAUUAGCCGGGCUGGUGGCGCACGCCUGUAAUCCUUGCUACUUGGGAGGCUGAGGCUUGAGAAUCUCUUGAACCCGGGAGGCAGAGGUUGCAGUGAGCUCUCCAGCCUAGGCAACAGACCAAAACUCUGUCUCAAAAAAAAAAAAAGUUCUGUGUACAUACUUAGGACUUGUAAUUGGUAGGACAUACUGCAGUAUUUUUCAAACUUCUGGUCGCAAACCCAUUAGUAGUUUGUGAAAUCAAUAUAAUCAGUUUUAUUUCCCCCAAAUGACAGAACAGAAUAGAAAACACCACCUCAGAAUACAUCUACAUAGAAAGAGAAUUAUUUUAUGAAACUUUGGUUUCUUACACAUAUCAUAUAUACAUAUUAUGUACUGGUUUGAUCCCAUAAAAUGGGAGUUUUUUUUUUUUAUUGUGGGUGUUUCUUCAAAGAAAUUUGAAAAAGUACAACUUAGGAUAAUCAAAGAGAUCUCCAACUGUCAGGACAGGUAGGUCUUUUCUCUUAGAGAGGUUAAGUUCCGGCCCAGUGCGGUGGCUCAUGCCUGUAAUCCCAGCACUUUGGGAGGCUGAGGCGGGCAGAUCAUGAGGUCGGGAGAUUGAGACCAUCCUGGCUAACAUGGUGAAACCUCAUCUCUUCUAAGAAUACAAAAAAUAAGUCAGGCAUGGUGGCACGCGCCUGUAAUCCCAGCUACUCGGGAGGCUGAGGCAGGAGAAUCAUUUGAACUCGGGAGGCGGAGAUUGCCACUGCACUCCAGCCUGGGCGACAGAGCAAGACUCCGUCUCAAAAAAAAAAAAAAAAAAACGGAGAUAAGUUCUCCUGGAGUAAAAUUCUCUAAACUUUUGCCUGCAUGCUAGUCUGAUAGACAGUACUCAUUCAUUCAGGUAUUGGUUGAGGACUUACUAUGUGCCAAACACUGUUCCAGGUUCUGGGUAUACAUCAGACAAAACUGUCUCCUGGGACUAGAUUCUAGUGAGGGAGAUAAACAGUGGGUUAUAUAGUAUUUAGAUCUUGCGCUAGGUAACACAGCAACAGAAGGGAAAGCUGAACAUAUGCAUAUAGAUGCUGGUAAGAGGGUGGAUGUGGUGGAUGAAUGAAGUAGAAAACAAGGUCAUCAUCUGAGAGUGAAAAUGGGGAGGAAGUGUUGGAAGAAAAGAGAAGGUGUGAAAUAAUUUAGGACACAGCACAGCAAACUAUAGCCUUUGGUCAAAUCCUAUUUUGGUGCAAUCCACAAGCUAAGGAUACUUUUUUACUUUUAAACGGUUGGGAAAAAAAUUUAAGAUGAUAUUACAUCAUAGCAUGUAACAAAUAAAUGCAAUUCAAAUUUCAUUUAUUUACAUAUUGCCUCUGGCUACUUUCAUGCUACAGUGACAAAGCUGAAUAAUUGCAAAAGAGACUAUGACCUGCUAUGCCAAAAAUAUUUAUCUGGCCCUUUACAGAAAAAGUUGGCUGACUCCUGAUCUAGGAGGAUGGGAAGGUAUAUAGAGUAGGGAAAUAUGAUUAUCAGGCAGCAUUAAGGCCUGAAGGUUAUGGACAUGAAUUUAAAGUAAGACUAAACAGCAUAGUUGCUGCACAGAAGUAGGUACAAAGGCAAAGAGCUGGCUUUAAAGUUGUGAUUUUGCAAACUGAAAAUGACAAAAAGGGGUAGACUAAGUUAAAAGUACAUGCAAGUUGCAUGAUUAUAAUGAGUGAUCCUGGGAUUUAAGUUGAUUAUGACAGGAACAGAAGGAACUUGGAGAUUAGGGACAAUGAAAAGGUGGUAGUGAAAGGAGUGUUGGAGUUAAGUUACUAGAUGUCUGGAAGACAGACUGUGGUGGUCAGAUAAUGAGAUAGAUUAUGGAGGGGUUACAGUUUUUGGUAAUAACGAGAGAGAUCUAAGGUAUGACUGAGAGUGAAUGGAUGAGAAUAGCAGAGAACAAGGUCAGUGGAAAACUACUCUUCAAAGAACCUAUAGUCAGGGUGUUGAAAGAUUAAAAAUUGCUAAGAAUUAAAUCAGGAGUAGUGCUGCGGGAAAUGAAAUGAGCAGUGAACUAAACUUACUGAGAAAUGAGAGGGGAUGACCCAGGGGUUUGUAGAUUUUGUAGAUGAUAGCAAUGAAGAGAAGAGAUAUUAUUUGAUGGUAUGGAACUCAAAGCUGAGAGUUUUAAGGGAAGAUAGGAGACGUGUCUAGAAGUAGUAAUGAGGAGCAAGAACAUCAUCUACCCCAUCUCCAGGACCAGUAAUAGGAGGACUGUGGGAGAAAAAAAUCACCUUGAGAGGGCUGUAGUGAAAGCAGUAUCCUAAGGUAGCAGCCAAGUUUCAGACUGCUGGGAUCCAAGCCAGGGAAAGGUUUCUGACUCUUUAGAAUGCUGAGCUUUAGGCUGGGCACAGUGGCUCACGCCUGUAAUCCCAGCACUCUGGGAGGCCAAGGUGGGCAGAUCACUUGAGUCCAGGAGUUCAAGACCAGCCCAGGCAACAUGGUGAAAUCCCAUCUCUACACAAAAUACAAAAAUUACCCAGGUUUGGUGGUUCAUGCCUGUAGUCCCAGCUACUCAAGAGACUGAGGUGGAGAAUCACUUGAGCCCAGGAGGUUGAGGCAGCAGCAAGCCAUGAUCACACCACUGUACUCCAGCCUGGGCAACAGAGUGAGACCCUGUCUCAAAAAAACAAACAGAAUGCUGAGUUUUAAAUCCCUAUAUUCAGUAGGAUGUCUCCCCUCAGCUCCCAGUUGUUGUUGGUGGCUUCAACUAGUUCAUCUUCCCCAGGAGAUAAUGAAUGAACAAAUGAAUGAAUGAAUGAAUGAGUUUAUAAGGGGCGAGGAUCUCAGGACUUCAUAGUCUUUCAAGUAAUCAUCUUGUUUUUAGCCCUCUACCUACUACCUCUUGCUUUUCAGAUAACUGAUGCCUCCAAUUCCUAAGCCUUUUCUGGGGUUCUGUGGUACAAACAUGCUUGCUUAUUGCUAGUAACACUCCACCAGCCCCUGCCCCAGACUUCUGCUUUCUCUGGUCUACUCAGUUUGUUCCUUGUUUUUUGCUUUCCGGAUUCAAAGAUUUUGUUGACAUUGCCUGGAUGCUGCCAUCUUUUGUCUCAUAUUCUUUGUCCUUAAUCAUUUAACAUUCCUUUACUGUCAUUUUAAUGGCAUUUCAGGAGGAAGCCAUGUUUCUAGUCCACCGUUCUUUUUUGUUGUUUUUGAGACAGAGUCUUACUCUGUCACCCAGGCUGGAGUGCAGUAGCAUGACCUCAGCUCACUGCAACCUCUGCCUCCCGGGUUCAAGCGAUCCUCCCACCUCAGCCUCCCGAGUAGCUGGGACCACAGGCAUGCGCCACUACAACUGGCUAAUUUUUGUAUUUGUAAGUAGAGAUGAGGUUUCUCCAUGUUGGCCAGGCUUGUCUUGAAUUCCUGGCCUCAAGUGAUCCACCCACCUCAGCCUUCUAAAGUGCUGGGAUUACAGGCAUGAGCCACCACACCGGGCCAAUCCACUGUUUUUUAAAAAGUUGUCAAGAGUUUUGUUAAGGGGUCAGACAUGUCUGACUGGUUGACUUUUCCCAGAAUGCUGCUUAGUCCCUCAAACACACAAAUUCCUGAUGGGUCCACCCACUAGGCUUCUGGUAUACACAGACAGAUCUGAAUCCCAGUGGUGGAAACAACCUAGGCUGAUUCUGAGUUUCCCACUGCAUUUCUUCUUCUAAUUGUCCCUCUUUUCCAUUCCUGUCCUUUCCCUCAUCCCUUACCUGCUGAAAAUGAAUCUUACCAUUUCUAAAAUUCCACUCUUCCGGGGGCAUCCACAGCUGGAUCCUCUUCUUCACUGCCAUUCCUCAGGCCUUAGAACAGGUCCCCUUCUUACACCCUUGUGCUCCAACUGGUCUUUAUGAAACCUGUUCACUUCAAUAUACUUUUAGGCCAGGCUCACGCCUGUAAUCCCAGCACCUUGAGAAGCUGAGGCCGGUGCAUCACUUGAGGUCAGGAGUUCGAGACCAGCCUGGCCAACAUGGUGAAACCCUAUCUCUACUAAAAAUACAAAUAUAUAUACAUAUGCCAGGCAUGGUGGCAUGUGCCUGUAGUCCCAGCUACUCAGGAGGCAGAGGCACGAGAAUCACUUGAAUCCAGGAGGCGGAGGUCGCAGUGAGCCGAGAUUGUGCCACUGCACUCCAGCUUGGGCAACAGAGCAAGACUCCGUCUCCAAAAUAUAUCUUAUCUAUAUAUAGAUAUAGAUAGGUAUAUAUAGAUCUAUAUAUAGAUAUAUACUUUCAAUUCUCCAAUUGUUCCCGUAUACCAUAGAGAAACUCUUAUGAGCUCAGUUUCUGCAGGACUUACAAAACAGGGUAAUUGCCUCCUCAUUAUGGUCAGCUCCAGCACCAUUCAAAUUCUCUGUCCUUACCCAUUUCCAGAACAAGCAGGAUGAAAAUCACUUAUCACUAUAGCACCCACCCUUAAGCACAAGGUUAUCCAAUGUUUUCAAGGAGUCCAGCAUUUCAUAACAGAACCCCCUGAUUAGUUUGCUAACUGAUGAAAGCAGAGUUAAAUUCCUGUUAUGCAGGUUUAGAGUACAGGAGAUUCUAUGUCCCCAUAUCCUCUGCCCCCCAAUCUAUCCCUUGGCAAACACAAGUACCUCUACUAGAAUAACCAUACUCCCUCUUCCCAACCCACUUCUCUUGUUUAAGGGCACUGGCAGUGUUUGUGUAUGUCAACAACAUCGGAGUAUCUGGGGUCCCUGGAGAGUUAGAUUUUCUGUAUUAAUUACAGACUGGGAGAUUACUCUGGCUCCAGUAAAAGCAAUACCAGGAUUGAAGUCCCCUCUCUGAUUAUGGUGGCUGGGAUUUGCUGGAAGAGGCAUAGGUCCAGAAAAGAAUGUAAAAAAGGUACUAGAAAGAAAGAAUAAGGCCUAUAGCCAUCAGGCUGCUAGAACCUUUGGACAAGUCACUAUCUAAAAGCAGGUAAAGACCCAGCUUUUUGUCCAUCUGGUCAGGCACCUGGUGGCGUGAGUCUUUCAGAACAUACUGGUCAGGCGGUGGCUCACGCCUGUAAUCUCAGCACUUUGGGAGGCUGAGGCAGGAGGAUCACUUGAGGUAAGGAGUUGGAGACCAGCCUGGCCAACAUGGUGAAACCCUGUCUCUACUAAAAAUACAAAAAUUAGCCAGGUGUGGUGGCGGGCAUAUGUAGUCCCAGCUACUUGGGAGGCUGAGGCAAGAGAAUCGCUUGAACCCAGGAGUCGGCAGUUGCAGUGAGCCGAGAUCACACCACUGCACUCCAGUCUGGAUGGUAAAGUGAGAACCCAUCUCAAAAAAAAAAAGGAACAUACCACAACCCUUCAAUAAAAAGGUCUCUGAGAAAACAGUUGUCACAAUGUCCAUGUACUUGUACUUGACACCAUGUGAGAAACAGCCUCCAGUAGGUCACUGGCCAGACAGGUGAGUAUGAAAUAGGACAACACUGUAUUAUAGCUCAGGAUGCAUUGAUAAUAGAAGUUUGAAGCAGCAGCUGACAGACGAGUCUAAGCAAUAACACACAGACUAGUUUGUCUCUGCUCUUGAGAACAGCAGCCUGCAACCCUUCAAACAAGCCAUAAUGUGUGAGUCAACAAGAAGCUACAUUUGAUUGACAAUGCCAUUUUAAUAAAGAUGUUCUAGAGUCAAAGAAUUUGGCGUGAGAAAUUGUGCCCAGGCUGGGGUGCAGUGGUGUGAUCAUAGCUCACUGCAGCCUCUGAGCUCCUGGGCUCAAGGGAUCCCCCUGCCUUAGCCUCUGAAGUAGCUGGGACUACAGGCAUGCACCACUGUGCCCAGCUAAUUUUUAAUUUUUUUGUAAAGAUAGGGUCUCAUUAUGUUUCCCAGGCUGGUCUCGAACUCCUGGCUUCAAGUGAUCCUCCCACCUUGGACUCCGAAAGUGCUGGGAUGUGCUCAAUAUUAAAUGUCAUGAAGAUACUGUUAAAAUAAUAAUUGUGCUCAAUAGUUGUAUCUUUAUACUAUUCUGAGCCUUAGGUUUCUUUUCUGUAAAACUGAACAAUACUACCUUCUUUGCAGGGGAUAGCAUAGUCCCUGGUUUACAGUAAAUGCUUUCCUCCAAUUGAAUCAAGAUAUACCUCUCUGCUACCUCCCCAUCUAUUAGAAAUGCUUGCCUUCUGGUACCAGAAAAAAAAAAAAAACACCUUCCACAUGACAACUCUGAAGACAAUAAUCACACUACCAUUGUGUUUUUCUGGAUGUGCCACACAUUGUAUACAUGUCCCUGCCUUACAAAUGACAUCUCCUAUACACAGAGUCCUUAAUAUUUCUACAUGCAAUGUAUAAUCAAUUAAAACAUCAGUAUCAUCUUAAUGUGAAUUUCUGUUAAUCCAAGUUCUCCCCCACUAUGCAAGUGCAAUAAAUAUUUAAAAAUGAAGGUAACAAUAUAUAUAUAUAUUUUUUUGAGACAGAGUCUCGCUCUGUUGUCCAGGCUGGAGUGCAGUGGCGUGAUCGCGGCUCAC